rnacentral:rRNA from 1 species
UACAGAGGUCUCGAGCGUUAGGCGAAAUCACUGGGCUUAAAGCGUGUGUAGGCGGACUGGUAAGUACCUUGUGAAAUCCCACGGCUCAACCGUGGAACGGCUGGGUAUACUGCUUGUCUUGUGCAACCUAGGGGCGAGCGGAACAGAUGGUGGAGCGGUGAAAUGCGUAGAUAUCAUCUGGAACGCCAAUGGUGAAAACAGCUCGCUGGGGGUUUGCAGACGCUGAGACACGAAAGCCAGGGGAGCGAACGGG